CCAGGUCUGGGUGAGCCAGCCCUCAGGCGGGGGCUGCAGCCAGGCUGGAACCUGCUUCUCCCUCACAACCUCUUCUCGCCCUGAAGGGUGUCCAGAGGCGGGUUCGCUGCGUGGCCAGGGAAAUUCAAGUUUCCUACUGCCUUGCAACUUAUCCGCUUGUUUUGGAAGAGAUAAACCCUCACGUUGGAAUCUAAGUCAUGGCUGCAAUAGUGAUAAUCCGAGGAGAAAAAGACUAAGGAACCUAAUUUUUAUAUUGUUUUCAGAAAAGGACAACAAACAGAUGCCUGUGGAAUCUGCUGUCCACCAGGAAGAGAGGCCUGUUUCAAGGAGCAGGUCUAACAAAUGUGAGCCCUCUCCUGCCUCUCUGAGGAAGACCCACCCGGUGGCAGGUGGUGUUGGGCACAGGCUGCCGUGUAAAUCAGAGAGGAGGCGUGUGGCCGAUAGGAAGGGUCGGGUGGCCCUGCGCCUGGCACCCUCAGAUGUCCUUGUUUAGCGAACGCUGAUUAGACGAGCCGUGUGUCACGCGAGCCUCCUGCCCUCACCUGUGGAACGUGAUCACGGGCACGACCCGGGGACGCGGCACAGCUAGAGCGGUUUCUCUCGCCGGCAACAAAAUGCGAGGAUACGGUCCUUAGCCACCAGAUUCAAAAUUCAAAAAGAAAUUUGAGCUUUUCAUCGAGAAAGAUAUCGUUAGCCUCCAUUCAUCUUGCUUGCUGGGUUUCUUUCCUCCUCUGGCACCAAAUAAAGGCAAAAUUGUACCAUCAGUUCUGCCGGCAGGGCCACCGGCCACUUCCUUGGCAUCUGGCCGAAUUACUUACGCAUCACUGCUGCUAGAAUUUUUCAUCUUCCCCACGGUGGCUUAGGAAGUGACAGAAAAAGCACUAGGAUAUAAACAGCCCGCACUGUGUUUGCAGGGAGGUUGGAGAAAGGCCAGCCUCGCCCUGGGCCCUGACACAGCAUCGCUUGACUUGACCCAGCAUAAUGCAGGCUGUUCAUGGACACAUGCAAUCAAUACAGAACGUGCUGGUUAUGAGAGCGUGAUUAAAGUCUGGGGUUUUGCUUUAGGUCGGACUUGGGCUGCUCUCCAGGGGCACUGAGCAUCUCACCAAAGGCAGGCGAGGCUGCUCACUCCGUCUUGCACAGAAAUUCUCCAUGUCUCAGUGAAGGAGAAAUCUCCGAGUAAGACAGUGUUUAAAUUUUUAAUAAGUAGAAUCCAGGUGGGAAAUCCAACCCCCACUGCUCCGGCCUGGAUGCUGCGCUGCGGGCGCUGCUGCUGCUGGAUUCAAGGGUCCGUGAGCCAACCAGCUGGGAAGACGUGCAGCACGGCAGCGGGGCUGCUCUGGGGACGGAGGGCUGGCGCCGUGGGUGGGUGCUGGGGGUUCUUGCCACACCAUGCAGUAUCUUGUGAAUUCCAUGCCACGGACAGUUUAAAAAAGUUCGAUUCAUUUUUUUCUAAUAAAAGAAAGAAAAAGGAGUUUAUACGCCCUUGAGACUAGCAUUCCCGAAGUUUUCUAUAAACUUGGGUGACUCUCUUUUCCCGUUUGCAGAACACAGAAAAGAAAGAAACAGAAGCAGAAAAUGAUUGUCUCAGUUUCCUGUUUCUCUGCUCAGAAGUCAUUUGUCCCGUGGGCCUGGGGGUAAUACGUAUCUGUUCCCAGGACAAGCAGGCAUCUUUGGACUUCAGUCAGCAACCUGGACGACCACGCCCUCCCACCCUCCUUUGUUCAUCCCGACUGUUUCUCCAGGUGGGGCUUCGCACUGGGAUGCGUGCUCUGGCCAUCAAGAGCCGUACGUAGCCUACCCGCGGGCCCUAAGUGGAUACCAUCUUGCUGUUGCUAGGUUCCAACUAAAGGAUGCUGAUCACUUGUUGUGGGAGACUCAUAGGACGUAGAUGAGACCCAGCCACCGGAGACAGUUGAACACGUGGCUCCUUCAAAGCCACGUCAUUCUGUUGAAGUGUCAGUCAGAAGCCCCACACGUUGCUGAGAGAGGCCAGAGCAGGACCGAAAGCAGAGCAGGUCGUCUGGAAGACAAGCCCCUGAACCUCUUCCGCACACUAUGGAGACACCACAGGGAGAGCCCUGAGGGCACACAGCAGCUCUGAGCCCCUGUAGAUGCGAUCCAGCCUCACUGCACUUGUGCUUGGCUGGUGCUGGGCACAGGACCCCCGGAGAAGCAGAUGAAUUCACCCCACGGGCACAGUGGCUGGAGCCCACAGCCCUGUGUGCACCCGGAGCCACCUGUCGCCGAAGCUUUAAGUGAGGAAUAUCACAAACUGUAUAAUGUAC